rnacentral:rRNA from 1 species
GAGCUCGUAGGUGGUUUGUCGCGUUGUUCGUGAAAUCUCACGGCUUAACUGUGAGCGUGCGGGCGAUACGGGCAGACUUGAGUACUGCAGGGGAGACUGGAAUUCCUGGUGUAGCGGUGGAAUGCGCAGAUAUCAGGAGGAACACCGGUGGCGAAGGCGGGUCUCUGGGCAGUAACUGACGCUGAGGAGCGAAAGCGUGGGGAGCGAACAGGAUUAGAUACCCUGGUAGUCCACGCCGUAAACGGUGGGUACUAGGUGUGGGUUUCCUUCCUUGGGAUCCGUGCCGUAGCUAACGCAUUGAGUACCCCGCCUGGGGAGUACGGCCGCAAGGCUAAAACUCAAAGAAAUUGACGGGGGCCCGCACAAGCGGCGGAGCAUGUGGAUUAAUUCGAUGCAACGCGAAGAACCUUACCUGGGUUUGACAUGCACAGGACGCCGGCAGAGAUGUCGGUUCCCUUGUGGCCUGUGUGCAGGUGGUGCAUGGCUGUCGUCAGCUCGUGUCGUGAGAUGUUGGGUUAAGUCCCGCAACGAGCGCAACCCUUGUCUCAUGUUGCCAGCGGGUAAUGCCGGGGACUCGUGAGAGACUGCCGGGGUCAACUCGGAGGAAGGUGGGGAUGACGUCAAGUCAUCAUGCCCCUUAUGUCCAGGGCUUCACACGUGCUACAAUGGCCGGUACAAAGGGCUGCGAUGCCGCGAGGUUAAGCGAAUCCUUUUAAAGCCGGUCUCAGUUCGGAUCGGGGUCUGCAACUCGACCCCGUGAAGUCGGAGUCGCUAGUAAUCGCAGAUC